rnacentral:lncRNA from 1 species
GUUCAAUCAUAUUUAUGAUGAUAUAUUUUGUUUAAUUUAUAAUAUUUAUUGUUCAGCACAUAACAAUUAGUAAGAAUACAUAUUCAUUAACCAAAAUGAGCUCAAAACAUUCACUGAAUAUUUGUUAUUUAGUCAGAAUUAUUAGGAAUCAUAUGUUUUAUUAGAAAUACUGGACAUUGUCAUAUCUGCAUCAGAUAUGGCAAUCUUUUCUGACAUUGAGAUCUGUCAGUGUAUUUUUGAUUCAUUUCCACAAUAAAGCCAACCAAAAAUAUGGUAUUAAUAGUAAUUUGAUAUUAUUUAAAAAAAAUCAAAAGUAGGAUAAUCUUUUAUUCAAGACUCUGAAUUAAAUAUUCAAUUACAAAUAGAAUUUUAGCAGAAUGCUAGAAGUUCCAAAUUUUGUAACAUUCUGCUAACACAUUAAAAGUAGGGCUGGCUUUAGGCACCAGCAAAACAAGCAACUGCUUGGGGUGGUAUUAGAAUAGUAAACACACAUAAUUUUCUUUAUUUUACAACUAGAACUUAAUUAUAAUCUGUUAAUUUUAUUGGGCACAUACAAAUUAUUUUUGUUAUAAGUUCACAAAUAUAUUUUUUUCUUAAGAGAAUUUGCUUUCAUGAGAAAAUAAAUUAGAAGUAGAGUUGUUGGCUAAAGAGCUUGAGUUUUUUGCAUUAACUGUGAGAUGAUUAAUAAAGUGAUAUUUAAAACAUUACAAAACAGAUUGUUGAAUAUAUGGGGCAUAGUUGGAAUCAUACACAGGAAGAAUUUCAAGACAAAAAGAGAAUGGAUGGAUCAAGUACCAACCUCCAGGAAGUACUUCAGCCAGAUCAAAAAGAUAGAUAAUCUGCAUUUCAUGCACUCCCCUGUGGCUUACAAUUCCAUCUCUCUAGUGGCAUGACAAUUUAGAUUAGAAUUUGGACAUGACUGAAGCUUGAGCUUUGGUGUUUUAAAAGUUUUUUAAUAUUCUGUUUCAAUCCAAAAAGUGGAGCACUGCUCAGCAGUUGCGGGAAGCA